UGGAUCGAUGAUGAUUUCUGGUCAUCAGUGUGAGUCGUAUACAAUGAACACGUGUCUGGAACUCUGAGGUCCGA